ensembl:lncRNA
CAGGGGUGACAAAAGCAGGGACAGAGUUGGGGGACAGAGGGGACAUGAAUGGGACACAAAUGGGGGACAAAGUGACACAGGAGGGUUCACAACAGGACACAGGUGACAGUUGGGGACACAAUGGGACACGGGUGGCAAAGUUGGGGACACAAGGGAGACAAAAGUGAGGACAAAUUUGGGGUUACAGUGACACAAAAAAGGGACACAACAAGAGAGGGAUGGGGACAAAAGCAGGGACACAACCGAGGACACAACCAUGGUGCCACAGCCCCGAAACGGUGACAAAACAGGGACAAAACAGUGACAAAACCAGGUGACAACAAUGUGAGGACCACAACAGGCAUGGCCGAGUGUAGCACGGACCCUGCUCAGGGUGGGGGGGGGGGGGUUCAGGUGUCACCGCACCCUCGGUGUCACCUCAUGUGGCGUUGUCACCAUGGUGGGGGUGUGGGGUGUCCGACUGUGCUGUGUGGGGCUGUCACACAGUGUGAAAUGUCACAUUUGUCACAUUUUGUGUCUGGCUGUGCCAUGUGGGGUUGUCACACGGUGUCACAUGUGUCACAUUUGUCACUUUUUGUGUCUGACUGUACCAUGUGGGGCUGUGUCAGGUUGUACCUUUAGGUUGUGCCUCAGAUUAUGUCACAUUUGUCACAUUUUGUGUCACAUUUGUCACAUUGUAUAUCCGACUGUACCACAUAAAGCUGUGUCAGGUUGUACCUCAGACUUGUGACAUUUUGUGUCACAUUUGUCACAUUUUCUGUCUGACUCUGUAGUGUGGAGCUGUGUCAGGUUGUACUUUUGGGUUGUGCCUCAGACUGUUACAUUUGUGACGCUUUGUGUCACAUUUGGUGUCCGACUGUGACGUCUGGGGCUGUCACAUGGUGUCACAUUCGUGUCACCUGUUACUUCACGUGUACGGCUGUGCUGAGCUCACACCAUGGCCUGGUAACACCCUGUGACGUCACACCCCGUGAUGUCAAACCCUGUGAUGUCACACCUCCCCUGGUGACACGGGGGAAACUCCCCCCACUCCUGACCCCCAAAAUUCCCCCCUGCUCCCCAAAUUUCUCCUUCUCUGCCCCCAAAUCCCCAAAACCUCCUCUUCCUUCUGGAUACCUCUCCCUGCCCUCCAAGCACCAAAAUUCUCAUUUUUUCCCUCAAUUUAUGGCCCCUAGUCCUUCCAAAAUUCUCCUCAAACAUUUUUUUCUGCUCCUGCCCCUCUAAAUGCUCCUUUCCUACCUCAGUUAUAACCCCACAUCCCUCCUGCUCUGCAAAAAAACCUUAAAGCCUUUAAUUGCGCCCCCAACCCCUUCUGCCUCCUCAGAUUUCUCUUUCCUGCUCCUAAAAUACUCCUGAAUCCCACUGCGCCUCGCUAAACCCCUUCCUCAGCUUCCCUCCGGAACAGGCCGCAAAGCCUCGGCCUUUCCCAGCGGCCACAGCCGGGCCGGGAGCGCCGGGAGCGGCCGGGCCGGGCGGGCGAAGCCGGGGCUGCGCAGGCCGCUGCUGGAGCGGUGCUUCGCCCAUUUCCGGCACUUUCCGCCUUUACUUCGGUAUUUUUCGUCAGAUAUUCGGGUAUUUCCGGAAUUUUCCGCUCAUGCUUCGGCAUCUUUCGACAACUUCCGCCAAAACUUCGGCCAGUUCCGGCUCUUUCCGUCAACGUUCGGGCACCGCCGGUUAACUUCGAGCAUUUCCGUCUCUCCCCGGAGGCCCUUCGGCGGUCUCCGCCCACUUCCGUCGGUGCUUCGGAACUCUCCGUCAAUCUCCGCCAGCUCUGAGGUCACUCCGUCACCCUCCCUCUGCCCCCGCCGUCUCUCGGCUCUCGGGCUCGGGGGGGCGGUGCUUUUUAAAUAAAUUAUUCAUGAACCGAUCCCA